AGAGGAAUAGCUGGGUCAAAUGGUGGUUCCAUUUUCAGUUUUCCAAGGAAUCUCCAUAGUGCUUUCCAAAUUGGCUGCACCAAUUUGCAGUUCCACCAGCAGU
rnacentral:pre_miRNA from 1 species